CGCCUCUUGACUUAUAAUAAGAGGUCCAGCCUGCCCAGUGAAUUUUAAACGGCCGCGGUAUCCUAACCGCGCGAAGGUAGCAUAAUCACUUGUUCUUUAAAUGGGGACUCGUAUCAACGGCAUCACGAGGGUUUUACUGUCUCCUCUUUUUGAUCAGUGAAAUUGAUCUUCCCGUGAAGAAGCGGGAAUACUUAUAUAAGACGAGAAGACCCCAUGGAGCUUUAAACCAAAUAACAACUUAACCACUUAACCCAUUAUAAAUUUAAGCCAUGUUGUAAGGUUUUAGGUUGGGGUGACCGCGGAGUAAAGCAUAUCCUCCACGACGGAAAGAAGCACAAUCUUUAUUUAAGAACCACAAUUCUAGAAAUUAGUAUACUAACGUUCACUGACCCGACAAUCGAUCAACGGACCAAGUUACCCUGGGGAUAACAGCGCAAUCUACUUCAAGAGCUCAUAUCGACAAGUAGGCUUACGACCUCGAUGUUGGAUCAGGGUAUCCCGGUGGUGCAGCCGCUACCGAAGGUUCGUUUGUUCAACGAUUAAAACCCUACG
rnacentral:rRNA from 1 species